ensembl:lncRNA
CAAAGGUCGGCGUGAGGAGGCGCGCGCGCACUCCAGUUAUCUGUCACCACCGGCGGCACGUGCGGCUUGGGCAGCGGCUGAUAAAUAUCUUGCGCAGGCGCCGUUUAGGGGCUCGUGGGAGUUUUAUAAUGCAGUAACACCGGAAUAUUUCGGCUACACGGGAACACAAACCGGAGGGAUUACUGUCCUCGUGCUCAUCCCGGUGGAAAGCGCGAGACUGAGGAAACUGACGGACUUACAGCUUGAAACUCCAGAAUCUGAACCGUUCACCAAAAUCAG